GAUGAACGCUGGCGGCGUGCCUAAUACAUGCAAGUCGAGCGAACGGACGCGAAGCUUGCUUCUCUGAUGUUAGCGGCGGACGGGUGAGUAACACGUGGAUACCCCCCCUAUCAGACUGGGAUAACUUCGGGAAACCGGAGCUAAUCCCGGAUAAUCUUUUGAACCGCAUGGUUCAAAAGAGAAAGACGGUCUUGCUGUCUCUUAUCGAUGGAUCCGCGCUGCAUUAGCUAGUUGGUAAGGUCACGGCUUACCAAGGCAACGAUGCAUAGCCGACCUGAGAGGGUGAUCGGCCACACGGGAACGGAGACACGGUCCAGACUCCUACGGGAGGCAGCAGUAGGGAAUCUUCCGCAAUGGGCGAAAGCCUGACGGAGCAACGCCGCGUGAGUGAUGAAGGUCUUCGGAUCGUAAAACUCUGUUAUUAGGGAAGAACAUAUGUGUAAGUAACUGUGCACAUCUUGACGGUACCUAAUCAGAAAGCCACGGCUAACUACGUG
rnacentral:rRNA from 1 species